GUGAUUCUGCAGGUCACCUGCCCAGCGGACAAAGAAAUAACAUAGUUGUGUGGUGAAUGAUAGCACGAAGAGUGUUUGGUGUUUCUCAGCCUAAAACAGCUGUAAUGCUACUUUCUGUUUGAGAGAGAGAGAGAGAGAUCUGUGUUGUUUUAAGCAGUGAUGAGAUUAAUGAAAAUGUGAUGAGAGGAACACAAAAACAUACAGAAAAUACAUCAACCAUACUAACCCUACAUGCAUAUACACAAUAAAUGAUACUCAUGAAGACCAGACAGCAUCUUAAGCAUGAGAUUCUGUUUGUCAUCUUGUCCAAGUCACUAGUACGAUGAAAGUGAUACAUAGACUAGUGGACUGAAUAUUAUAGGAGGACAGAUGACUGCAUCAUAGAGGAAAACAGAAUGCUGAUGAGGGGUUUUAAAUGAGUGAGCUGAUUGUGAGUUUCUGGUGUGUGAAGAAGUUUUACCAUGGCACACAUUUGGUUACAUGAGAAGAAACUUAUUAUGUGAUGAGACAACAGGGUUAUGCUGUAUGUUGUGUGUGACUGAUUGGAUGAAUGUUUGAGAUUGAUCUAGCUGUUGAUUUGUCUUUUGUUACUAAGUUGAGUCUGCCAAAUGGGUUGUUACGAUUUAUCCCCCUGGCAUGAAGAACACGUGUCAUGACUUAACAAGGUCUUUCUUUCCUUUGCUUUCCUUUAUUUUCUUUCUUUCUUUCUUUUUUAUUUUGUUACUUUCAUGGUGCACUGAAGGUUUCGGUUGAUGAUCUCUGUUUGAGCAGAUAUGCACGAUUAGAACAGAAGCGUUAUACGACUCGUCGUCGAGAAAACUGUUGCAAAAGUGAGUUUCUCCAAAAGAUUAAAAUGGGCUUGGGAGAAAGCCACUUAUUUGGGACAAUCAGAAAACAAGUCCCUGUCAAAAAGGAUUCAGAGAGGGAAUCCAAUUUGGAGUUUUUCUUUUUCCUUUUGAAAUGACGUUAUUUUGCUGUGGGUGAAAAUGAAAAUGCGACGAUAAAAUUCCACAAUCAGCAAAAAGAAAGAAUGGAUGACUGUGUGAAUGAGUGAGAAUUUUAAAAUAAAUGGGGAACUAACUAACUGACUGACAAAAGCUGACAAGACUGACUGACAACACCAUUGUGUGAAGUUAACCCCCACCUGACAAAGGUGUGGAUGUAUCUCUGUGUGUGUCUCUGUUGCAGGAGCAGAAGGAGACCACAGGAGGAAACUUGGGUCACAUGACUAUGUGAACUCUGCAAAUUUAACCUUUUGGUUUAAAAUUUUCUCUGUCUGUGAAUUCACCAUGGGUGUGUUAUUAACUACUUUGUGUUGCUCACAGAGAUUACUGUGAGAAAGAGUGUAUACACCUGCGCAGCGCUAACAUUAACAUUUCUUUUUACAGCAGAUGGUUAAUCAUGUGAUUUGAUCAUGUGAUUUAUAGCAGGACACAACUUAAUGUGUUUUUUCUACCACAAGAUUACUGAGAUUUUGUGUGAAGAAAACUGUGGUUACAGGCUGUGUGUUGAUGAUGAAAUUACACUGUGUUGUGGAGAAAAUAUGAAUGUUACAGGGGAGAAGUGAAUACAGUUUGAGACAUACUGUGAUGAAACCAUUGUUACUUUUUCCACAGCGAGUGUUAACUUUAUGACUUUUCACAGCUUCUCUGGAAUCUGAAUGGCCGACACCUGAUAACCAGGAUGAACUGUUUUUGGCUAAUGUUUGUUUUUCUUUAAGAGUGCUUGUAAAGGAUUCAGCACAGACAGACAAGUGACAAUUGAACAAAUGUGCAGUGGUUACAGAAUAGUUGAAUAUGGGGCUCAUUAGCUGGCCACUACUGAGCUCAUAGUGAUAAAAUGAGUGGAGUGACAUUGCUUAAGGAAAGUCACCGAUUAAAUUGUGGAAUAAAUUGGGAUGAUUCAUGAUUUGGGACAAAUUGUGAUAAUAAUAGUGAUUUAAUGAUUGGGGAAAACCUGCACAUGAUAUUUGUCUUUUAUGCUGAAUACUUUAUUAUUCCUUUGAUCUAUAGUCGGUUGAAAAUGUGAAGUUUGAUUUAACGGAUUUGUCUUCCAGGAUAUAGGCUCCAGGUGGAGCUGAGAGUUGGACAAGCUAAACAUUUAAUUGCUGACUAAUGUUUUUACACAGGGUUACAGCUUGGAGUGAAGCUGCUCCAAGGGACAAACCCUGGAGAUUGUUUUAGGGAGACUGUGCAACAUUCUUGUACAUGUCUCAUUGGGGAGUUGACACGUGGCGGAAGCCAUGUGGCAAGAGGAGUGUCAUUUUAAUUUGCAGAUGUCGUGAGAUGCCAUGACGAGAGAAGUGACUGAGAGGAUCGUCCACAAGACGGAAGCUGAGGCCUGGAGAGAGUCUUCAGGAGGAUCAGAGAUCGCCUUCAGCACAGAGAGCUGUGCUACUGAGCUUCCAGGAGAUCGUCAUGAGGAGACUCUGCACAGCAAAAUCUUAAAAUAAAAUGAAAGAGUUUCGACGUUGACGUUGAGGAAGACAACUAAGGUGUACGACGUGAUACCUUUAAAAUCUUCAGCAACGUUGAAUCAUGAGGAUUUGAGGGAGCGUGCCAAGCUCCAAAAAGUGACAGCGCAGAGGAGGUCCAGCGAUGGACUUGUGGUUCUGUGAACAGCAUAAAUGUCAGGAGCAGAGUCUGAAGUCUGGAAAUUGGAUGUUGACAAGGCCAUGGAGAGGAAGUGCUGGUCCAGACCACGGUGGGAAGGUCCAUAUCGGAUGCUGCUGACGACGACCACAGCAGUGAAGAUUGCUGGAAGAAACACUUGGAUACAUCAAGCGCACUGCAAGAAGGUGACGCACAUUCAGGCCAGCUCGGGGUAAGUGGCAGGAAGACCGGGUACAAAGGGGGGGGAAAGCCUCCAGGGCCCCUCGUCUCAAUCCGGUGAAGAAACCAACUGAGCCACAGGUACUCAUCAGAUGGCUGGGAAUGUGCUGUGCGCCUUCUUGUGCCUGUGGACCCAGAGUGGGAUGACAGGAGCGCACUGGGACAGAGCAAACCACACCCAGUACCCACAUGGGGUUUUCAACCAACUAUUGGUGGCAGUUUGUGAACACAACUGCUCACAUAAAGAAUGAGACCAAUGGUUAUGCUUGUGAAGCCACUGUCUACACAUUCUUCUGGACUGUGGCCAUAUAGCAUCACUGAGAGCGAGACAGUUUGUUGGUUGCCAUAGCAACACAUCCAGGAGUAAACGUACUUGGAACACUGCCAACUUUUCAACUUCUGAACCUGACGGUUGAUUCACCAGUAGCUGGGAAGGUGAACUGCUCUGGUACGACAGACCUGCUAGUCCGACUCCAAGUAUCUGACUUGCUGCAGGACAUUGAACAGCUAAAUAAACUGGAAACAGGCCAGUUGCCUAUGUGUAUGAAGGGCAAUGGAUUAGUCCAAGUUGGAGAUUUACCAUGAAAUCUGAGCAACGUCACCUAUUCUUUGUGUCCUCUGCAAGAAGGAUGCAAAGAGAGAAGCCUUUUGUCUACAUUUACAUCAUGAACACUUCUAAGCUGGUUGAGGUUUUGAGCCAAGAAGAUCAAAACACCUUGAUCCAAUUUCCUUUACAAAGGUUUUCCUGUGGUGACAACAGGACAGGAGAAGUUGUAAAUGCGGAUAAUUUACCAGUUGACUCUAACCCCACAGGAUGCCUACAGUGAGAAGAUUUG
ensembl:lncRNA